ACAUGCCUACAACAUAGUGUUAAUGCAUUGGAUCCAAUUAGAACUCCGUAGUUAAGCGCACUCAGGCUAGAGUAGUACUGGUAUGGGUGACUUCCUGGGAAGUCCUAGUGUUUUACAUGCC
rfam:Picea glauca, whole genome shotgun sequence.